GUGGCACUCUAGAAAAAUGUUUCGUUUUUGCGUAAUAACCAUUGCAAUUGUUAGAAAUUAUGCCUGCAACCCUUAUCUCUUAUUGGACUGGCUCACCACCGCGCGUCUCCAUCGGGCACGCGCCGCCGCUUGCCGCCGGCGCGGGCAGGAGACCCAUGUUAAAGGUUGGUCACAGCGGAGGCCUCGGCAGGAAGACUCGAGGCGGCCCGGUCCGACAAGAGGCGGCGCGACAUGGACGACUCCGACCCCGAGAUCGAGCUCGACAGCGACUUCAAGCAGAUCGUGAUGAUGCUGCGCCACAUCAAGGACAAGGCUCACAAGGACAGCCAGAAGAAGACCGAGCAGGCCAUCUCCAGGUGAUUCCACCUCCCCCGUGCCUAUUCCCGGUCAAUUUCACAAUGCUACUGUGCGCAGUCCUUCUACCAGCCCCACUCUUACGAGGGAUUUGUUGCCUGCCACGGUAGUUUCAGCAGCUAAGAGUAUGUUGUUUGUGUUUCUAACCUGCUGCAUGCCCUGUAUCUGAACCUGAUGUAUGCACUGUAUCUGAAUCUACUGGUAUGCCUUCUAUCUGAACCUGAUGUACUCCCUGUAUAUGAACCUACUGUAUGCCUUGUGUCUGAACCUGAUGUAUGCCCUGUAUCUGAAUCUAGGUUUCAGGAGUCUGUAACUGGAUGGGAACUAGGAGUUACCAGUGGCAUGUUGUUUGUGAA